AGAGUUUGAUUCUGGCUCAGGAUGNACGCUGGCGGUCUGCUUAACACAUGCAAGUCGAACGAUUCUCCUCGGAGAAGAGUGGCGGACGGGUGAGUAACGCGUGAGAAUCUGCCUCCAGAACGGGGACAACAGUUGGAAACGACUGCUAAUACCCGAUGAACCGAAAGGGAAAAGAUUUAUCGUCUGGAGAGGAGCUCGCGUCCGAUUAGCUAGUUGGUGUGGUAAAGGCGCACCAAGGCGGCGAUCGGUAGCUGGUUUGAGAGGACAAUCAGCCACACUGGGACUGAGACACGGCCCAGACUCCUACGGGAGGCAGCAGUGGGGAAUUUUCCGCAAUGGGCGAAAGCCUGACGGAGCAAGACCGCGUGAGGGAGGAAGGCUCUUGGGUUGUAAACCUCUUUUCUCAGGGAAGAAGUUCUGACGGUACCUGAGGAAUAAGCCUCGGCUAACUCCGUGCCAGCAGCCGCGGUAAUACGGAGGAGGCAAGCGUUAUCCGGAAUUAUUGGGCGUAAAGCGUCCGCAGGUGGCAAUUCAAGUCUGCUGUCAAAGACCGGGGCUUAACUCUGGGAAGGCAGUGGAAACUGGAUAGCUAGAGUGCGGUAGGGGUAGAGGGAAUUCCCGGUGUAGCGGUGAAAUGCGUAGAGAUCGGGAAGAACACCAGUAGCGAAAGCGCUCUGCUGGACCGCAACUGACACUAAGGGACGAAAGCUAGGGGAGCGAAUGGGAUUAGAUACCCCAGUAGUCCUAGCCGUAAACGAUGGAUACUAGGUGUUGACUGUAUCGACCCGGUCGGCGCCGUAGCUAACGCGUUAAGUAUCCCGCCUGGGGGAGUACGCACGCAAGUGUGAAACUCAAAGGAAUUGACGGGGGGCCCCCNCAAGCGGUGGAGUUAUGUGGUUUUAUUCGAUGCAACGCGAANAACCUUACCAGGGNUUUGACAUNUCCCGAACCAGGAGAAACUCUUGGGGUGCNUUAGGGAGCGCGAACCCNGGUGGGGGCAUGGCUGUCCUCCCCUCCUGUCCUGAAAU
rnacentral:rRNA from 1 species